rnacentral:lncRNA from 1 species
AUCCCUACGGUGAAGCAUGGUGGUGGCAGCAUCCUGCUGUGGGGAUGUUUUUCAGCAGCAGGGACUGGGAGACUAGUCAGGAUCAAGGGAAAGAUGAACGGAGCAAAGUAAAGAGAGAUCCUUGAUGAAAACCUGCUCCAGAGCGCUUAGGACCUCAGCCUGGAGUGAAGGUUCUCCUUCCAACAGGACAACGACCCUAAGCACACAGCCAAGACAACGCAGGAGUGGCUUCAGGAGAAGUCUCUGAAUGUCCUUGAGUGGCUCAGUCAAAGCCCGGACUUGAACCCGAUCGAACAUCUCUGGAGAGACCUGAAAAUAGCUGUGCAGCGAUGCUCCCCAUCCAACCUGACAGAGCAUGAGAGGAUCUGCAGAGAAGAAUGGGAGAAACUCCCAAAUACAGGUGUGCCAAACUUGUAGCAUCACCCCCAAGACGACUUGAGGCUGUAAUCUCUGCCAAAGGUGCUUCAACAAGGAGAAGUUUGCAGACGACACAACCAUAGUAGGCCUGAUUACCAACAAUGACAAGACAGCCUACAGGGAGGAGGUGAGGGCCCUGGCAGAGUGGUGCCAGGAAAUGAACCUCUCACUCAACGUCAACAAAACGAAGGAGCUGAUCGUGGACUUCAGGAGAUAACAGAGCACGCCCCUAUCCAUAUAAACGGGACCACAGUGGAGAAGGUAAAAAGUUUCAAGUACCUCGGCGUACACAUCACUGACAAUCUGAAAUGGUCCAAACACACAGACAGUGUGGUGAAGAAGGUACAACAGCGCCUCUUCAACCUUAGGAGGCUGAAGAAAUUUGGCUUGGCCACAAAGACUCUCACAAACUUUUACAGAUGGACAAUUCAGAGCAUCCUGUUGGACUGUAUCACCGCCUGGUACGGCAACUGCACCGCAGGGAUCUCCAGAGGGUGGUGCGUUCUGCCCAACGCAUCACUGGGGGCACACUGCCUGCCCUCCAGGACACCUACAGCACCCGAUGUCACAGGAAGGCCAAAAAGUUCAACAAGGACAUCAAUCACCUGAGCCACGGCCUGUUCACACCGCUAUCAUCCAGAAGGCGUGGUCAGUACAGGUGCAGCAAAGCUGGGACCGAGAGACUGAAAAACAGCUUCUAUCUCAAAGUCAUCAGACUGUUAAAAACCUAUCACUAGCUGGCUACCACCCGGAAACUCAAUCCUGCACCUUGGAGGCUGCUGCCCUAUAAAUACAGUUGAAGUCAGAAGUUUACAUACACUUAGGUUGGAGUCAUUAAAACUAGUUUUUCAACCACUCCACAAACUUCUUGUUAACAAACUAUAGUUUUGUCAAGUCGGUUAGGACAUCUACUUCGUGCAUGACACAAGUAAUUUUUCCAACAAUUGUUAACAGACAGAUUAUUUCACUUAUUAUUCACUUAUUACUCAUAAAACGAGUCCUAUAUCAACAUACACUGAAAGGUCGCUCAGCAAGGAAGAAGCCACUGCUCCAAAACCACCAUAGAAAAAGACAGACUACGGUUUGCAACUGCACAUGCGUACAAAGAUUGUACUUUUUGGAGAAAUAUCCUCUGGUCUGAUGAAACAAAAAUUGAACUAUUUGGCCAUAAUGACCAUCGUUAUGUUUGGAGGAAAAAGGGGGAUGCUUGCAAGCCGAAGAACACCAUCCCAACCGUGAAGCACAGGGGUGGCAGUAUCAUGUUGUGGGGGUGCUUUGCUGCAGGAGGGACUGGUGCACUUCACAAAAUAGAUGACAUCAUGAAGCAGGAAAAUUAUGUGGAUAUAUUGAAGCAACAUCUCAAGACAUCAGUCAGGAAGUUAAAGCUUGGUCGCAAAUGGGUCUUCCAAAUUGACAAUGGCCCCAAGCAUACUUCCAAAGUAAGUGGCAAAAUGGAUUAAGGACAACAAAGCCAAGGUAUUGGAGUGGCCAUCACAAAGCCCUGACCUCAAUCCCAUAGAAAAUGUGUGGGCAGAACUGAAACAGCGUGUGCGAGCAAGGAAGCCUACAAACCUGACUCAGUUACACCAGCUCUGUCAGGAGGAAUGGGCCAAAAUUCACCCAACUUAUUGUGGAAAGCUUGUGGAAGGCUACCUGAAAUGUUUGACCUAAGUUAAACAAUUUAAAGUCAAUGCUACCAAAUACUAACUGAGUGUAUGUAAACGUCUGACCCACUGGGAAUGUGAUGAAAGAAAUAAAAGCUGAAAUAAAUCAUUCUCUCAACCAUUAUUGUGACAUUCUUAAAAUAAAGUGGUGAUCCUAAUUGACCUAAGACAGGGAAUUUGUACGAGGAUUAAAUGUCAGGAAUUGUGAAAAACUAAGUUUAAAUGUAUUUGGCUAAGGUGUAUGUAAACUUCUGACUUCAACUGUACAUAGACUUGGAAAAUAACGGAACAGUUGUCACAGUCGUCGAAAGGAUUAGACCAAGGCGCAGCGUGAAUAGUGCUCAUUCUUGAUACUUUAAUGAAUAACACUUUAACAAAAUAACAAACGACCAACAGUUCCAUCAGGUAAAACAACUAAACGGAAAAUAACCACCCACAAAACCCAAAGGAAAACAGGCUGCCUAAGUAUGACUUCCAAUCAGAGACAACGAAAGACACCUGCCUCUGAUUGGAAACCAUACUUGGCCAAACAUGGAAAACGAAAUAUAGAAAUAGAAAACUAGAACAAAUUCCCCUAGAAACAAAAAACCCCAAAACAACCCCCCUGCCACGCCCUGACCAUUCUACUAUGGCCAAUGACCUUUUUCACUGGUCAGGACAUGACAACAGUAGUCACUUUAAUAAUGUUUACAUACGGCUUUACUCAUUUCAUAUGUAUAUACUGUAUUCUAUUCUACUGUAUUUUAGUCUAUGCCACUCCAACAUUGCUCAUCCUAAUAAAUAUUGUUUAUUAAUUCCAUUAUUUUACUUUUAAAUUUUUGUGUAUUGUUGUGAACUGUAAGAUACUAUUGCGCUGUUGGAGCUAGAAACACAAGCAUUUCGCUACACCCGCAAAAACAUCUGAUAAACAUGUUUUUGAGAACAAUUAAAAUGUGAUUUUACAAAGUACUGAGUAAAGUGUCUGAAUACUUAUGUAAAUGUGAUAUUUUAGUUUUUAUUCAUAAUAAAUUUGCAAAGAUUCAAAUAAACUGUUUUUGCUUUGUCAUUAUGGGGUAUUGUGUGUAGAUUGAUUACGAAAAAAUGUAAUUUAAUCAAUUUUAGAAUAAGGCUGUAACAUACCAAAAU